AUCAAGGUUGGGUUGUAGUGAAGUACGCAACCCUAUAAGCUGAGGUGUGAUGCGGACCGAAAUUUCAGUAGGGGAGCGAGUGAGUUCACGCUGGCGAGAAAAGCUGCUAGUACAUCCAAAGGUACCCGUACCGGAAACCGACGCAGGUGGGCGAGGAGAGAAUCCUGAGACGGACGGGAGAACCCUUGUUAAGGAACUCGGCAAAAUGACCCCGUAACUUCGGGAUAAGGGGUGCCUGCGAGAGCAGGCCGCAGAGAAUAGUCACAAGCGGCUGUUUAGCAAAAACACAGGUAUCUGCGAAAGCGAGAGCUGACGUAUAGGUGCUGACACCUGCCCGGUGCUGGAAGGUUAAGGGAACAUGUUAGAGCAAUCGAAGCAUCGAACCGAAGCCCCAGUAAACGGCGGCCGUAACAAUAACGGUCCUAAGGUAGCGAAAUUCCUUGUCGGGUAAGUUCCGACCCGCACGAAUGGUGUAACGACUUGUGAGCUGUCUCAACAGGGGGCCCGGUGAAAUUGAAGUAUGGGUGAAGAUGCCCAUUACCCGCGACUGGACGGAAAGACCCCGUAGAGCUUUACUGCAGCCUGAUAUUGAGUUUCGGUAACUGAUGCACAGGAUAGGUGGGAGUCUGAGAGACAUGGGUUUCGGCUCAUGUGGAGACGGUUUGGGAUACCACUCUUCGGUUACUGAAAUUCUAACAUAGCUCUGUGAAACCAGAGGAUGGACAGUGUCAGGUGGACAGUUUGACUGGGGCGGUCGCCUCCGAAAGAGUAACGGAGGCGCCCAAAGGUACCCUCAGAAUGGAUGGAAACCAUUCGAAGAGCGCAAAGGCAGAAGGGUGCCUGACUGCGAGAUUGACAAAUCGAGCAGAGACGAAAGUCGGGCUUAGUGAUCCGGCGGUAUUGAGUGGAAAAGCCGUCGCUUAACGGAUAAAAGCUACCUCGGGGAUAACAGGCUGAUCUCCCCCAAGAGUCCACAUCGACGGGGAGGUUUGGCACCUCGAUGUCGGCUCGUCGCAUCCUGGGGCUGAAGCAGGUCCCAAGGGUUUGGCUGUUCGCCAAUUAAAGCGGCACGCGAGCUGGGUUCAGAACGUCGUGAGACAGUUCGGUCCCUAUCCAUCGUGGGCGUAGGAGUCAUGAGAGGAGCUGUUCCUAGUACGAGAGGACCGGAAUGGACGCACCACUGGUGCAACUGUUGUCGUGCCAACGGCAUAGCAGGGAAGCGAAGUGCGGAUGGGAUAAACGCUGAAGGCAUCUAAGCGUGAAGCCCACCUCAAGAAUAAGACUCCACAAUAGACCCCUGGAGGACUACCAGGUAGAUAGGUCAUCGGUGGAAGCGCUGUAAGGCGUGUAGCUUGAUGAUACUAAUCGGUCGAAAGCUUCAU
rnacentral:rRNA from 1 species